GUGAGGAAUAUUGCGCAAUGGAGGCAACUCUGACGCAGCCAUGCCGCGUGCAGGAAGAAGGCGCUACGCGUUGUAAACUGCUUUUAACCGGGAAGAAACCCCAGGACGUGUCCUGGGUUGACGGUACCGGAGGAAUAAGCACCGGCUAACUUCGUGCCAGCAGCCGCGGUAAUACGAAGGGUGCAAGCGUUAUCCGGAUUCAUUGGGUUUAAAGGGUGCGUAGGCGGAGCGUUAAGUCAGUGGUGAAAUCCUGCAGCUUAACUGUAGACUUGCCAUUGAUACUGUCGCUCUUGAGUGCGCUUGAAGUGGGCGGAAUGUGCCGUGUAGCGGUGAAAUGCUUAGAUAUGGCACAGAACACCAAUUGCGAAGGCAGCUCACUAAGGCGAUACUGACGCUGAGGCACGAAAGCGUGGGGAUCGAACAGGAUUAGAUACCCUAGUAGUCC
rnacentral:rRNA from 1 species